CAGACGGUAGACUUCGUCCUCGUUCUUGGACGUGCCGACUCUCUCUAUCUGUCCCCCUCUGUGUGUGUGUGUGUGUGUGUGUCUCUCUCUCACAUUCUCCCUCCUCCCUGGAUCUCCCCGUGUUGAACGAUACCUAAAGCUUGGGGAUGGAAGGUUGGAAGGUUUUCCUUGGCCAACACGCACAUCCUCUCUCACCAGUCAGUAGUGUGCCGAUGUCCGUCCGCGAUUCAUGAGUCCUAUGAGCUGAAAUCACUUCGAGCAUUGGCAAACUGGCCAUCCCAUCUCGAUCUCAAGCACGGAUGAAGGAAAGAAUGGACGUGCAUACGACAAAACUUGAACGAGUGGUACAUUCACUGCCAGCCCAUCGUGCGCUUAAGGGAUGCUAGCGGGUUCUCGUCGAAUGGAUCUCGUGUACUAGUCGCGACUUCAUUGGAUUUGCGCCCAUGACCGAGAGCUCUGUAGCUCUGUGGGACCAGAGGUUCCCACAGUCCAUUGAUGUUGUAACCUUGUGGUGAGUUCGUAAAAAGAUCCAAAGUGCCUAGAUCAAGGUUGGUUUUAGUGGUUGAGAACAGAAGCAAACACACAACGUUUGUAAAUGAAAUGACUUAUAUUUCAAUUUUUUCUUUGGUUUGUGGCUGAAACACAAACUUGGGGGCCAUCAAACUGGGAUAAAAACCUCUCAAAUUAGCAAUCUGUUUUGAAAGUUGACACCCACAACUCUGUAACAUCUUUUCAUUCAGACCAUACCCAAUCCCAAUGAGGAGCAAGAA